AAACUCAAAGGAAUUUGACGGGGGCCCGCACAAGCGGUGGAUUAUGUGGUUUAAUUCGAAGCAACGCGAAGAACCUUACCAGGACUUGACAUCCUACUAACGAGGUAGAGAUACGUCAGGUGCCCUUCGGGGAAAGUAGAGACAGGUGGUGCAUGGUUGUCGUCAGCUCGUGUCGUGAGAUGUUGGGUUAAGUCCCGCAACGAGCGCAACCCUUAUUGUUAGUUGCUACGCAAGAGCACUCUAGCGAGACUGCCGUUGACAAAACGGAGGAAGGUGGGGACGACGUCAAAUCAUCAUGCCCCUUAUGUCCUGGGCUACACACGUAAUACAAUGGCGGUCAACAGAGGGAUGCAAAGCCGUGAGGUGGAGCGAACCCCUAAAGCCGUCUCAGUUCGGAUCGAGGCUGCAACUCGCCUGCGUGAAGUCGGAAUCGCUAGUAAUCGCGGAUCAGAAUGCCGCGGUGAAUACGUUCCCGGGCCUUGUACACACCGCCCGUCACACCAUGAGAGUCGGGAACACCCGAAGUCCGUAGCCUAACAGCAAUGAGGGCGCGGCCGAAGGUGGGUUUGAUAAUU
rnacentral:rRNA from 1 species